rnacentral:rRNA from 1 species
UACAUGUGGGGCAAGCGUUGUUCGGAAUCACUGGGCAUAAAGGGUGCGUAGGCGGUGUUACACGUCCGGGGUGAAAUCCCAUGGCCUAACCAAGGGUCUGCCUCGGAUACGGUGGCACUUGAGUGCGUGAGGGGUGAUCGGAACGCGUGGUGUAGCGGUGAAAUGCGUAGAUAUCACGCGGAAGGCCAACGGCGAAGGCAGAUCACUGGUGCGCAACUGACGCUGAGUGCACGAAAGCGUGGGGAGCAAACAGG